AGCGAACGCUGGCGGCAGGCUUAACACAUGCAAGUCGAGCGGGCCUUUCGGGGUCAGCGGCGGACGGGUGAGUAACGCGUGGGAACGUGCCCUCUGGUUCGGAAUAACUCAGGGAAACUUGAGCUAAUACCGGAUACGCCCUUUUGGGGAAAGGCUUGCUGCCGGAGGAUCGGCCCGCGUCUGAUUAGCUAGUUGGUGAGGUAACGGCUCACCAAGGCGACGAUCAGUAGCUGGUCUGAGAGGAUGAUCAGCCACACUGGGACUGAGACACGGCCCAGACUCCUACGGGAGGCAGCAGUGGGGAAUAUUGGACAAUGGGCGCAAGCCUGAUCCAGCCAUGCCGCGUGAGUGAUGAAGGCCUUAGGGUUGUAAAGCUCUUUUAUCCGGGGCGAUAAUGACGGUACCGGAGGAAUAAGCCCCGGCUAACUUCGUG
rnacentral:rRNA from 1 species